ACACACACACACACACACACACACACACACACAUAUAUAUACAUAUACAUAUAUAUAUAUAUAUAUAUAUAUAUAUAUAUAUAUAUAUAUAUAUAUGGAUCGAUGGCUAUAUUCACUUAUAUUUAUAUAAAACAAGUGACGGAAAUAGAAACUGGAAUUCACGAGAAUCUACAUUCAUCACAUUGAUCGUUUCGACCCAUCCUGAUUCCCUUGCAGAUCAGAUACUAUACAACUGGUUGUUUUUCAUCUUUCAGUGUCCUUAUAAAGGCACCUGACGAGAUAUACAUUUGCACCGAACGAUGCAACACAACCAAGUGCAUAGUACCCCACCGUCAAAGGACCGAUGCAAGAUGGAUCGAAACGAUCGUUGUGAUGAAUAGAGAUUCUCGUGAAUUCCAGUUACCGUUUCCUUCAUUUGCUAUAUACCCAACAUACUCUGUGGAAUUCCUCGGGUAGAUCCAGUGACACUUAUAUCAAAACUGUGGAUGACAUCAGGUUGCCAUGGACUGUGAAAGUGAUUUAAUCGGCAUAUUACUAGGUGUGUGUCAGUCUGUAUGUAUAUAUAUAUAUAUAUAUAUAUGCACACAUUAAGUAGAGGACAUCAACAACGGUGUAGAAUAUAUAACCACAUAACGAAGGACAAGUAGGAGACAAAAUACCAAAAGAAUCUAACUCCUCCUCAGUUGACGACUGUUUAUUACUCCCUGUUUAGACUUUUCAACGACUAUUUACAUACAUACAUGCAUACAUACAUACAUACAUACAUACAUACAUACAUACAUACAUACAUACAUACAUAUAUAUAUACACAUACAUACACAAAUAGAUAGAUAGAUAGAUUCAUUUAUUUAUUUAUUUAUUUAUGUAGCAUAAGUAACAGAGUGACUCAAAGUCCAUGAGUUUCGUGCUAACGCACGAAACUCUCAGGCUUCGAGUCACUAUGUUACUUCUGCUAAAUAUUAAUAAAAAUAUACAUAUAUUCAUAUUUUAAGGUCCAUUUUUCUUCUUUGUACCAACAUAUAUAUAUAUAUAUAUAUGUUGGUAUGUACCAAAAUAUUUAUAUAUAUAUAUAUACAUAUAUAUGUGCGUGUGUUUGUGUGUGUGUGCGUGUGUGUAUACGCGCGUGCACACGCACACAGACACACACACACAUACACACACAAACAUACACAUGCACAUAUAUAAAUAAAUAAGAUCGUUUCCUUCAGUUUUUGUCUACCAACUCUACACACAGGAUUUUCAUUGGGCCGAGGCUAUGGUAGAAGACAGUGGCUCAGCAGGACUGAACCCAGAACCAUAUGGUUGGGAAGUAAGUAUCUUACCACACAGCCAUGCCUUCACCGAAGUAUGUUUCUUAUGUAUAACGAAGGUAAUGUCUCUACCUUAGUAUUUAGUAGAGGUAUACCACAGAUUCAAUGUAUCCCAUUACGAUGAGCUUGUGCGAGUUUCGAAUUAAUCAAGCUAUACUUUGUCCUUCCUACCUUAUUUCCGACGAGGUAGGUCGCGAGUUCGGUUUGCGAAAAGACGAAAUGUCUCAGCGCUGUAUACAUAUUUGGCAUAUUUUCAUAUGAUUUCUCUGAACUAUUCAAUGUUUACACACCCGUCUUCGACUUUUGUUGGGUUUUUUUUGUAAAUUCUCACCAUAUUCCAUGUCCAUUGUGUGACUAAUAUCGCAUAUCGAAUUUGUUAUGCAAACAUAAAAAUGUCUCUAUUGCUUGUCCUACUCGGCUCGCAUUGUGCUUGAAAAAGGCAACAUAAUAAUUGGGAAAGGCAAAAAUUAAAGAAAUAGAGAAUGCCUCCGCAUGGAAAAUGAACAAUCAUGUAAUUAAAUGCUUUAAACUGAGAUCUAACAGGUUACUGAUAAUGCGUUGUAGAAUGCAAAUCUUUCUAACAGGUUUAAGUGCCUAAUUAGAGUGGAUAUAUAUUUAAUCCCUCAGCAGAAUAGUUCAAGAGUGUGCUCUGACAAUAAUAAAAUCUCAACAUAAGAUUAAAGAUAUUUCAGUUGACCACCCACAUGAAAAUAUAUUAUAUGAAGAUAAAAUGUUUACAUGUCUUUUGAGUAUAGUAUUGACUAAAACCUAAUACACACACACACACACACACACACACAUAUAUAUAUAUAUAUAUAUAUAUAUAUAUAUAUAUAUAUAUAAAACUUUGCUUGACUGAGAGAGCAAGGACCCUAAAUUUGCUUGAUGCCUGGACUUUCUUAAACUCCAAAAGUGACAUGUUCAGUCGGUGCCUUCAUGUGAUGAAAUUCUUCAUGUAGAGAUGAAAUUCCACGCCUUCCCACCAGCGAAUGUGGAUCGUAAAUAUACUAAACCUUUUCCGAUGCAAUGGAAACUAGUCAAAGAGAGUUAACUCCAUCUCGCCCCGAAAGGAAGUCGCUUGGUGAUACUUCAGGGUUUUUGUCCCUUUUUUACAACCCUAACUGAACAAGACUGCAUUCAUAUAUCCAGGAGAUAUGUUAUGAACCUCGAUCAAUAGGUCUGAAGUGUCACCAUAUCACUAAGAGAAUAACAGGGCAAAACCAGCGGAAACUCCCUGACCAGCCAUAACCAACAACUACAUUUUAUACACACACGAAUACACACACACACAUAUACAUAUAUAUACGCACAAAUGCAUACAUACAUAGGUAAAUAGAUAAAUAAAUAAAUAAAUAAAUAAAUAGAUAUAUUUCUUUAUUGGCCACACAAGGAUGAAGACAGAGGGGUCAAAAUACAAAGUAGAGCUUUUCUUUUUCGCCGGAGAGAAGGAAAAGUAAAAGAAAAGGAAAGGGGUUAGAAAUUCGAUUAAAAGGGAUCGUUAAAAAAAAGCUGAUCAAUAGGGGAUCGAGUAUCACAGAAAUGUCAUAGUGUAAAAAGAGGAAACAGAUUACGCUUAUCCGUGGAAAGAAAAGCCUACAAAAAAGACCACAGUAACCUCGGGCAAUAAUAUCAUGCAAAAAAACGCAUUACAGUAAGUGACUCUCCUUUGUCAAUCGCACGUGCCAUCCUUGCUACAUUCACCCAUGUUUUUUUUUAAACAUUCACUAGAUAAAACUUCCCUCUCUACUCUCACUUUACUCUUCAAAUGAUACUUGUAGAAGUUGAUGAGAUAUUGACCAGAGAGGAAAGUGCUUGUCUCUAAACCAUUCAGAUGUCUAGUUUCAAUACUCAAUUAGAUCGCCGUACACCCAAUCUUCAGGUCUGGAUUCUACACAUUUAUUACUCUAUCUACAUCCUAUAAAACUGUAUGAUAAUUGAAAUUAUUUGACUCAAAAUCGUUAACAUAAAUUUACUUUACAAUUUAAUGAAUAAAAAUAAAAAUAAAAAUAAUGAAUGAAUGAACCUUAAAAGUUUAAGGACUAAAAGAAACUAAAAAUACAAAUAAAAAUACGAAAUAAAAAUAAAAAUAAUACAUAUAUAUGUGUGUGUGCGUGUGUGUGUAUGUGUGUGUGUGUGUGUGUGUGUGUGUGUGUGUGUGUGUGUGUGUGUGUGUAAAAGAAUACAAACUGGGACAAGAACGCAAAACAUUUAGAAGACGAUACAAAAAACACGGAUGGUAUAUUCGAAGGUUUCAAUCUUCAGUCAAGAAGCCGAUCAUCCUCGCAAUUUCGGCUGAUUAAUCUUGAGAUUGCUCCAAUCUGGCCAGCCCCAAAGGAAAAUCUAAGUCAAGCGCAUUAGAUUCCUUGGAAGAAAGCUUCGAAUGUAUACAAAACAAGGACGGAAAAACGGACGAGGUACACGAAUAAGAAUACAAAAAUACGUAAAAACAAUAAUGAUAAUAAUAAUAACAAAAACAGGACGUCACAGACAGGCGUCUAUCGACAGGACGAGUAAACUUUGAGCUGGUGUGUUUAUAUAUAUAUAUAUGUAUAUAUAUAUUUAUAUAUAUAUACAUAUAUAAAUAGAUAUAGAUAUAGAUAUAGAUAUAGAUAUAGAUAUAUAUACAACAUCACAAAACCCUUUCGAACGAGCAAUACUGAUUCCACGGCUCCAUGCUUUGAAAUGACUAAACAUGAAGUGCUACGGGAACUUACAUACCAUGUACAGGAAACAUUUUUACCACUUCUAUGCACCAUUUUCCUCGAAUACUAGAACUGCAACUACAAUAUCUUUAUAUAUCUUAUUUCGACUUUCUCUCACUUCCCUCUAUAUUCCCUAUCUUUUCCACAAUAAUUCGAACUCAGAUAUUCUCUCACACCGUUUCUGAUGAAGGGAUAUCCAUAAUAUCCCAGAAACAGCUGUAAGACUAUUUCAUUAUAAAUGACCUGAAAACUCCUCACAGCCUUGGAUUUCUUAUCUUAUUCUGCCUAAUAUAUAUAUAUAUAUAUAUAUAUAUAUAUAUAUAUAUAUAUAUAUAUAUAUAUAUAUAUAUAUAUAUAUGUAUGGAUGGAUGGAUGGAUGGAUGUAUGUAUGUAUGUAUGUAUGUAUGUAUGUAUCAUUUAACGUCCGUUUCCAGCCUGGUCCAUUGUCUAUUUUUUAAUUUGCUUCUACGGCUCGAUGCCCUUCAUAACGCUGGACACUUUACAGAGUGUAGUGGGUGCCUUUUACGUGGUACCAUAAAAGUGCCAGUACCUUUCCUAUGGCACCAGUACUGGUGCUUUUUGCGUGACACAAGCAAGAUAGCAUUUUAUGCGGGACCCUGGUUUUAUGAUAUCAGUUUUCUUGUGAUCGGUGGGUCUUCUUGAGUAGAGCAAUAUGUCACAUCUCGGUCCCUUGCCAUCGCCUUCAUAAGGCCCAGUGUUUUGAGAUUGGCCUUCAAUACUUCGUCUCAUGUCUUCCGGGAUCUCCCUCGUCCACUUUGUAUGAUCGGCCCUUCUUUAUACAGCUGUCCUCAUUCCGCCCCCAAUCCAUCCAUCCAUCCAUCCAUCCACCCAUACAUACAUACAUACAUACAUAUACAUACAUACAUACAUACAUACACACACACAUACAUACAUACAUACAUACAUACAUGCAUACAUUCAUGCAUACAUACACACAUACAUACAUACAUACAUACAUACAUACAUACAUACAUACAUACAUACAUACAUACAUACAUACAUACAAACAUACAUACAUAUAUACAUACAAGCAUACAUACAUACAAAUUCUGUCAUCAAUGACAACAGGUUCCAUGAUGUGUCUGAGUGUGUGUGUUUGCGUCUCUGUGUGUGUUUGUGUGUAUGCUUGUGUCUGUAUGUAUUUGUGUCUGUGUUUGUAUGUGUGUGUUUUGUAUGUGUGCGUAUGUGUGUGCGUGUGUUUGUGUCUGUGUCUGUGUGUGUGUGUGUUUGUAUGUUCUUUCUUGUGUGUGUGUGAGUGUGCUUGUGUCCUCCCUACAUGAAACAAAUAUACAAGUUGAAGUAUUCCAGAGAUCAAUCACAAAGAAUAACUGACGAUAUGUCAGGUCUUUAUUACUGAGAUAGGACUCAAGAAACUUUAUUGCCUCCAACGCUACGGUGAGCACUACAUCAUUCGUAUGAGGUGGAACAUAUUCCGACAAGCGAAUAUUUUAGGAUCGUUGCCCUCUCGCCCGAGCAAAUUUUGCAUCGUUUGCUUCCAUUGAGUAAUGGUCCAGGCUGUUCCAGGAGCUUCCAUUUACUACUGUAUGGCCUUUCUUUUUCUUUUGAACGCCAUAUGUUGUUGGUCAAAGCCGUAAGAUUGUGCGUCAUUGGGAUCCUAGAAAAAGGACCUGUGCUAUUUGGUCCCAGUUUAAAGGAGUCCUCCCUUGCUACGACGUAUUUCCGUGUAUGUGUGUUUAGUUGUUGGUGCUGUUGCUACAAUCGCUGCCGUUGCUGCUGCAAUAUAUAUGUAUGUAUGUAUGUAUGUAUGUAUGUAUGUAUGUAUGUAUGUAUGUAUGUAUGUAUGUAUGCAUGCAUGUAUGUAUGUAUGUAUGUAUGUAUGUAUGUAUGUAUGUAUGUAUGUAUGUAUAGCGUAUUCUUUCCAUGCGUUAUAUAAAACCUGACUCUAAACAGAGAAAAUAGUUCAAAUACGUUUUUAUUUGUAAUACGUUUUAUAUUUCACAGGAAAAAGAGUCUCGACGCGGUUACAAAUAGAAACUUGUUUAUUGAUAUCACACGGUCUCUGAUGAACAAUUAAUUUUACUAAAUAAAGUCUGCAUAUCAAUGAAUGCUGAACACGUCAAGAUGAAAUAUGUGCAAAGCUGAACAAAGAAAUUUAGCUCUCAAAAAAUUUAGGCUAUAUGCAACAAAGGAAAUAAGUAUGAUAAUACAGAGAAAACAAUGUAAAAGCUCACAGAGUGUAACUUAAUGGAACGCGACAAAAUUCAGUGAAUAAAGUAUUUUGAGAGUUCGUUUUGAAGCGUUCAGGUAAUAGAAUAUUUAUUAGAAAGAAACAUGUCAUAAAAAAAUAUAGUUUGAAAAUAGGAAGAGCAAUUUAGAACUGAAUAUGAUAUAUAAGCAUAGGCGACGAGCUGGCGGGAUCGUUAGUAGGUCGGGUAAAAUGAGUAGCGGCAUUUCGUUUGUCUUCGUGUUAUGAGUUUAAAUUCUUGCAGAGGUAGAAUUUGCCAUACGGGGUGGAUAAAAUAAAUACCAAUUGAACGCUGGGGUCGAAGUAAUCGACUUAUCUUUUCCCUCAAAAUUGCUGGCCUUGUGUUAAAAUUUAAAGCGAUAUGCGAUAUACAUGCAGAAUUUAAUAGAAUGUGAUUGUGCGUAUGUGUGUGAGUAUGUGUGUGUGUGUGUGUGUGUGUGUGUGUGUAUGUGUGUGUGUGUGUGUCUUAUCAUGAUAGAGAGUGACAGAAAGAGGAGAGAAUGUGGGUGAAAGAGAAUGUGGAUGUGAGAGAAAAUGUCUUCGCUGUCUCGGCGAUCAGCUCAAACGAAAAUGAAAAAUGACGUUGCUUUUGUUAGAAAAAAAUGGAUGUCUCAAACGAAAUAUAUCUUUUCUGCUUCGAAAAGCUCUAAAGUUAAGAUUGAAUUAUUUGUGUUUAUUCAAUAUUUGCUGGAAAUAUUGUUAAAACAGAACCAUGUGACAUGCAGAGAAACAAACUCUUAUCUGGAAUUAUUUUCUAUUAGGCAACUUUUGACUGCAAAAAUACAAAGCUUGCUUUCAUUGGUUGAAUACAGUCACUUGAUAUACACACAAACCUAUGCAACUUCUUGGGUCACUUUUGCUAAUUUUAAAGCUUAAAAAACAAACUACAACAUAUAUUUUAUCUUUUUACUUGUUUCAAAUAAAUGAAUCAAAUGAAUCGACCCAAGUAGUUAUUAUUUUAUUGGUCUCUUUUGCCGAACCGCUAAGUUACGAGAAUGUAAAUGUACCAACACAAGUCGUCAAGCGGUAAUGGGAACAAGCACAAACACACACACAUUCUUUUCUACUCCAGGCACAAGGCCCGAAAUUUUGGGGGAGGGUCCAGUCAAUUAGAUUAACCCCAGUACGCAACUGGUACUUAAUUUAUCGACCUCGAAAGGAAGAAAGCAAAGUCGAUCACAGCGAAAUUUGAACACAAAACAUAAAGGCAGACGGAAUACUGCUAAGCCUUUCGCCCAGCAUGCUAAAGUUUCUUAUUUGU
rnacentral:lncRNA from 1 species